rnacentral:lncRNA from 1 species
GCCCCGCCCGCGCCCCCCUGCUGCAGCCCGCCCGUUCCUCCGGCUGCGGGGACGGGCCCCUUGGGCUCUUCUUAGCUAGUCCAGCGCGCGUCGUCUCCCGGCGGGCCUGCGGUCUCCGGGAAGGCGGGCUCCCCGCCGGCCUAGCGCUCGGGCCGCAGAGAGGCGCGUGUAACCGAGCAGGCCCGGCCUUGACAGCGCCUCCCCCGCGUGUCCGCCAGUUACCGUAAGCAACGACGUCUCCGAGGACGAGGAGGAUGACGAAGAAGCAGCAGAGCUGUGCCCCGUCCUUCCUGCUAAAAAGCAGAGGCCCAGGCCCUAGCCCUCCUCGGUCAGGGAGCCGGCGGGCUCGCGCUCCGCGCCCGGCGUUCCUGGACGAGUCUCAGGAUUGUGACUGUUUCUUCCCCGCGGAGGAGCAGCGUUGUGGGGCAGAGCCUGGGCGGGACGGACUGGGCCCUGCCGGCCCCCGGUGCUCCGGCCCUCCGCCAAGCCCCGCUCCCCGCUCCCCAACUUCUGUGAAUUGGAAGAUGUACCUGAAGCUCAGAACUACACGUUUUUAACACUUUUUACAGUUUUAGAUAAAGUUUGAAAUAAAGUGAUGUGGUUUCUUUUGCAACUCUGUGUGCCUUCUUCCUGUGCCCGGGUGACAUUUCCCUAGGGACCACCAGGUGGCACUGUGGCAGCGUAAAGGGCGGCCCGGACCC